rnacentral:rRNA from 1 species
GACGGAGGAUGCAAGUGUUAUCCGGAAUCACUGGGCGUAAAGCGUCUGUAGGUGGUUCAAUAAGUCAACUGUUAAAUCUUGAGGCUCAACUUCAAAAUCGCAGUCGAAACUAUUGGACUCGAGUAUAGUAGGGGUAAAGGGAAUUUCCAGUGGAGCGGUGAAAUGCGUAGAGAUCGGAAAGAACACCAACGGCGAAAGCACUCUGCUGGGCCGACACCGACACUGAGAGACGAAAGCUAGGGGAGCGAAUGGG